rnacentral:lncRNA from 1 species
GGUUCGCACAGUUUGGACUUAAAUCGAUUCGAAGAGUUCUAAUCAAGUUGGGUCAACUCACACUCACACCUAUUGCUGGCUAAGUAUGGAACCCAAUGGGUCACACACAAGGGAACUCAUUAAGGAUCUAAUUAGAUUAGACCAUGUUUGCAGAAUGAACAUGCUAGCACGUGUUGCAAACUCUAGCUCCUAAUUUGAAUUAGAUUCAAAUUUGAUUCUUGAUUUGGAUUGAUCUAAUUAAAUUAGCCAUUUUUGGUUAGAUCAUAUCCUAUUUUGGGUUAGCCAAGAGUUGGCACCUAAUUGGCUUGGUUUGAACCCAAUUAGAUUGGUUUGAUGGCACCAUAAUUGGAUAAGGAUGAAAAAUCUAUAUGGAUAAAGUAAUCUUAUCCAUUUAAAUUCCCUUAAUUAUUCUCAUGCCUAAAAUGCAUAAGGCGCCAUCAAUAUCAGCCAUUGAAUGAGGUUGGCGCCACAUAAGAUC